rnacentral:rRNA from 1 species
UACGUAGGUGGCAAGCGUUGUCCGGAAUUAUUGGGCGUAAAGCGCGCGCAGGUGGUUCCUUAAGUCUGAUGUGAAAGCCCACGGCUCAACCGUGGAGGGUCAUUGGAAACUGGGGAACUUGAGUGCAGAAGAGGAAAGUGGAAUUCCACGUGUAGCGGUGAAAUGCGUAGAGAUGUGGAGGAACACCAGUGGCGAAGGCGGCUCACUGGUCCGGUACUGACGCUGAGGUGCGAAAGCGUGGGGAGCAAACAGG